rnacentral:rRNA from 14 species
GGUUAAUAUUCCCGUACUAGGUGUAUAUUAGUUGUAUGUGCGCGGCAUAUUAGUCGGAGCGGGUUCAUGGUUAUACCCGUCUAAGUAGCAGAAAUGGCUACGAAUGAAACGGCCUUACGGCUGGAUUCCGGUAAAAGUGCUGACCAGAAAAGCAAUACAACAUGCGUAUACAGCUAUCCGUACCGCAAACCAACACAGGUGCUCAGGUCGAGUAGACCAAGGUGUACGAGUGAUUCUUCGUUAAGGAACUCGGCAAACAAGCGGCCGUAACUUCGGAAUAAGGCCUGC